GACGUAGGGCGCGAGCGUUGUCCGGAUUUAUUGGGCGUAAAGAGCUCGUAGGCGGUUUGUCGCGUCGUCUGUGAAAACCCACGGCUCAACUGUGGGCUUGCAGUCGAUACGGGCAGGCUAGAGUUCGGUAGGGGAGACUGGAAUUCCUGGUGUAGCGGUGAAAUGCGCAGAUAUCAGGAGGAACACCGAUGGCGAAGGCAGGUCUCUGGGCCACUACUGACGCUGAGAAGCGAAAGCAUGGGGAGCGAACAGG
rnacentral:rRNA from 1 species